rnacentral:lncRNA from 1 species
GCCAUUUUGACAGAAGACUCUCAUUUUCAUUUCGUGGCUGGACUGGAAUUCGCUUAUGAUGCAUAUUCAUUCCUGGAAUGAUCACAGACAUUUUUCUGGGACCUUUGAAUCCUAACACAUUGGUUUCAUAAUAAACAGCUGCAAGUUCUUGUCGAGUAUGAGCCUUUUCUACUUCACCUUGUGCCUUGAUUGGGCUAACUCCAUGGUCAUAGACUGUAAAUUUAGUUCCCAUGAGGUUUGACCUGAGUUUUCCAAUGAAACUCUCCCCUUCCCGGGAUAAAUCAGUUGGGUCAACAGAUAUGAUAUAAUUGGAUGUUUUGCUCUUUUUUCGUUUUCUACCUGCAAGAAGAAACAUCUUUCUGUUGUUAUCCUUUUCCAGAUGCAUGUAAUAGGUAGGGAAGAGGCCCCGG